GGCCAUGGCUUAGCGGUAGAGCAUUUGCUUGGCAACCAAAAGAGCUGAGGUUCAAUCCCCGGCAACACCA
rnacentral:tRNA from 1 species